rnacentral:rRNA from 1 species
GAUGAGCGCUGGCGGCGUGCCUAAUACAUGCAAGUCGAGCGAACGGACGAGAAGCUUGCUUCUCUGAUGUUAGCGGCGGACGGGUGAGUAACACGUGGAUAACCUACCUAUAAGACUGGGAUAACUUCGGGAAACCGGAGCUAAUACCGGAUAAUAUUUUGAACCGCAUGGUUCAAAAGUGAAAGACGGUCUUGCUGCCACUUAUAGAUGGAUCCGCGCUGCAUUAGCUAGUUGGUAAGGUAACGGCUUACCAAGGCAACGAUGCAUAGCCGACCUGAGAGGGUGAUCGGCCACACUGGAACUGAGACACGGUCCAGACUCCUACGGGAGGCAGCAGUAGGGAAUCUUCCGCAAUGGGCGAAAGCCUGACGGAGCAACGCCGCGUGAGUGAUGAAGGUCUUCGGAUCGUAAAACUCUGUUAUUAGGGAAGAACAUAUGUGUAAGUAACUGUGCACAUCUUGACGGUACCUAAUCAGAAAGCCACGGCUAACUACGUG